rnacentral:rRNA from 1 species
AGAGUUUGAUCCUGGCUCAGAUUGAACGCUGGCGGCAUGCCUUACACAUGCAAGUCGAACGGCAGCACGGGGGCAACCCUGGUGGCGAGUGGCGAACGGGUGAGUAAUACAUCGGAACGUGUCCUGUAGUGGGGGAUAGCCCGGCGAAAGCCGGAUUAAUACCGCAUACGCUCUACGGAGGAAAGGGGGGGAUCUUAGGACCUCUCGCUACAGGGGCGGCCGAUGGCAGAUUAGCUAGUUGGUGGGGUAAAGGCCUACCAAGGCGACGAUCUGUAGCUGGUCUGAGAGGACGACCAGCCACACUGGGACUGAGACACGGCCCAGACUCCUACGGGAGGCAGCAGUGGGGAAUUUUGGACAAUGGGCGCAAGUCUGAGGCAGCAACGCCGCGUGCGCGAUGAAGGCCUUCGGGUCGUAAA